AGACGCCCAACCAACCAUUCCAGAGCCCUAGCCCAUCCGACUGCCACCAUUUUUCCCCACCUCCAAACUCCACCUCACCGCCGCCGCCGGACACGGCCGCCGCCAUGGGUUCGUGUAGGAGCUAUGGAGGAGGAAGCAGCCGGACCUGACGAGGGUCGUGCAGCGGCCGGCGACCGUGCGCCGUCUCGGCUCCGAGGCAAACUAGGCUUGGAUUACCUCUCGGAUCCCACCCUCCCUCGUGUUUGUUCUUGAUGCGACUAUCGUUAUUCGUCUGUAUUUUUUGCUCUGUGCGGCUGCGUCGCCGUACUCUAGCGUGUGAAAUGUGACAAUUUUCAUUGAAACCACAUGGCCCAUUAGCACCUGAUAAUGAUAACAAUUUUCAUUUGUGGGAACUGUUUAAA